AGUGUGCGCGGUGGGUAAGUGUGCGCACACCCAUGCAUUUCAAUCCAAAAUGAAUGGUCUUGCGCACACUUACCCACAGCGUACACUUCCCCACAUGACUAUUAGCGAAGAAUUAGUUUAUGCAAGAGAAAGUGAGAUUAAAUCAUCUGUUAUUUUGUUUUUAAACAUAUAAAGAAUCAGGUGCACCAGAAUUAACUUUUGCUAUCAAAGAUCUAAUUCAUAAUGCCGCGUAAUUAUAUAAGAAAAAAACCUGAACGUGCUCCCGUUACUGAACAACAAAUUUCUCGAGCAAAAGAUCUGAUAGCUGAUGGAAAAAGUAAGAGAGCUGCUGCAAGUGCAAUCGGUAUCAGCGAGUCUUCUUUACGGAAACGACUUAAACUUGAUGCAGUUGCUCGUUCAUUGGGCAGAUGGAAGUCAACUUUUAACGAAGAGCAAGAAGCAGAAUUUGUAUGCUAUUGCAAGCAAAUGGAAAAUAGAUACUGCGGGUUGACUACAGAAAAUCUACGACGUAUGGCUUAUGAUUAUGCCACAGCUAAUCAGAUUAAAAACCGCUUCGAUUCGUUGAGUCAAAUGGCGGGCCGAGAGUGGGCUGCAAGUUUUUUAAAACGCCAUCCAGAAUUAACGCUCCGGGAAAAAAAGAUCAAACCUGAACAGACCUAAUAAUAAUAAAAAUUUAUUGGUGAAUUUAUGAAACGACCAGA